GGUAUUCCUUAUCUGUGUCUAAUACGUUGAAUUGUCUGGAGCCUGCCUCCUUGUGCUCUGGGGUUGCCAGAACACAUGGAGACAGGCUCGUCGUUUAUACCUUUUAGCGCUGACGC
rnacentral:sRNA from 1 species